CUUGUUUUUUUAAUGAGUGUACACUGAUUGAUACGCAGGAUGAAAAUUUUCAGUAAAAUAUAAAUGAAAAAAAAAACUCCACUUUGAGCCCCUUGGCAUAACAAUGACCUGCAAGGAAGCCCAGGUCUUUGGCUUCUGUGCAUAGACAAUAUGGGGCUCCCUGGCUGGUCACUUUAUGUCAUAGGGUCCUCAGUGGGUUUUCUAUUUCGCAAUUGCAUGGUAUACAGUGAUAUUGACCUUUAUCACCAUGUGUGAUAUUGUUUGUUAAUGUACUGUGUUUAGCUGUUUUUUUACCAAAUAAUCUUAGCUACUCAACUACUCAACCCAAUGUCGACAUCUGUGCUAAAGUCUUGCAAAGUCUCCAUUAUCACUGUUUUAACUACUGGUAUGCAUUUUAAACUUCAUACAUGUUGCAGAGUUACCCUGUGAUUGUAUUUUAAUUCAGAAUACAUGUAGUAUCACAGGGGAUAUUCAAGAAUACUUAUAAUUUAUUUGUUAAACUUAAUAUCAAAUACUUUUACCAAAAACAUAUAUCAUCAAUGAAAAUAUGCCCUGAAUAUACUAUGUUAUUUUAUAUACUGGUAUUUAACCAAUGGAGCAUGCUCAUUGGUCAAUAUUUUCUGUUUCUGCCUCAAAUGAGGCAAAGUUUGAGACUCUGAAUGUUUGAAUUUGCUAAACAAUAUAAUUUAGUACAACUGCCUUUCAUGCCAUACUAUAUUACAUUAAAGCUUGUUAAAAGAAAAUGGUUUUGGUUUAACUGAAAUUUUCCACCCAUUAAUGGAGGAAAUUUGUGUCAACUAAUUCAAGUAUCUCUGGUGCAUUUCAAAGUCUUAUGAGGUCCAUGCAUGGGUGUACCAAAACGGUACUAUACCGCUGUUUGGUACACAUGCUUAACUUGGUAACCCAGGUUCGACUACAAUAUGUGGAACUUGCUUGAUGGUCACCAUUCUGAACACCUACUUCUCUCUGUAACACAGGUUUGAUUCUCAUAUCCAGAGCUUGCUUGGUGGUCACCAUUCUGAACACCUGCUUCUCUCAGUAAUCCAGGUUUGAUUCUCAUAUCAGGGCUUGCUUGUUGGUCACCGUUCUCAACUUAUUCUGUUUACUGCAGGUUCUCCUGCAUUUUCUUACGUCAUAAAAAUCAAUACACAAUGUAAUGCCUUUCAGUAAAUAGAGUAUUACUUGAAGCAAACCUUCGGAAUGUGUCCCCACUGCUAUAGUAAGUCAUUAAGGUAGAGUGCUGGGGCACAUUCUUGUUCCUUGUUUUGUUUAGGCGAGGAAAGACCUCAUAAUCUUACUUAUGGUUGGUAUAUUAGCUCGUUAUAUAAUACAGAUGAACUGUUGAUAUGUUAUUUUGUGUUGAUGUAGGUGAUGAUGAUAACUAUUGAUGGUGGCAAUUUUGAUGAACA